AUCCAGCUGACGAAUCCAGAAUAGAACGAAACGCGCGUCAAACUGGAU
rnacentral:hammerhead_ribozyme from 1 species